rnacentral:rRNA from 1 species
GAUGGAAGCUUGCUUCUAUCAAUCUUAGUGGCGAACGGGUGAGUAACGCGUAAUCAACCUGCCCUUCAGAGGGGGACAACAGUUGGAAACGACUGCUAAUACCGCAUACGAUCUAAUCUCGGCAUCGAGGAUAGAUGAAAGGUGGCCUCUAUUUAUAAGCUAUCACUGAAGGAGGGGAUUGCGUCUGAUUAGCUAGUUGGAGGGGUAACGGCCCACCAAGGCGAUGAUCAGUAGCCGGUCUGAGAGGAUGAACGGCCACAUUGGGACUGAGACACGGCCCAGACUCCUACGGGAGGCAGCAGUGGGGAAUCUUCCGCAAUGGACGAAAGUCUGACGGAGCAACGCCGCGUGAGUGAUGACGGCCUUCGGGUUGUAAAGCUCUGUUAAUCGGGACGAAAGGCCUUCUUGCGAAUAGUGAGAAGGAUUGACGGUACCGGAAUAGAAAGCCACGGCUAACUACGUGCCAGCAGCCGCGGUAAUACGUAGGUGGCAAGCGUUGUCCGGAAUUAUUGGGCGUAAAGCGCGCGCAGGCGGAUAGGUCAGUCUGUCUUAAAAGUUCGGGGCUUAACCCCGUGAUGGGAUGGAAACUGCCAAUCUAGAGUAUCGGAGAGGAAAGUGGAAUUCCUAGUGUAGCGGUGAAAUGCGUAGAUAUUAGGAAGAACACCAGUGGCGAAGGCGACUUUCUGGACGAACACUGACGCUGAGGCGCGAAAGCCAGGGGAGCGAACGGGAUUAGAUACCCCGGUAGUCCUG